rnacentral:rRNA from 1 species
GACGUAGGGCGCGAGCGUUGUCCGGAUUUAUUGGGCGUAAAGAGCUCGUAGGCGGCUCGGUAAGUCGGGUGUCAAAUCCUCAGGCUCAACCUGGGGCACCACCCGAUACUGCUGUGGCUAGAGUCCGGUAGGGGAGCGUGGAAUUCCUGGUGUAGCGGUGAAAUGCGCAGAUAUCAGGAGGAACACCAGCGGCGGAAGGCGGCGCUCUGGGCCGGAACUGACGCUGAGGAGCGAAAGCGUGGGUAGCAAACAGG